rnacentral:ncRNA from 1 species
GUAUAAGUUUGAUUCUGGCUUAUUUUUAAUUUUUUCAAGAAAUUAUAUGUAUAAAUAUUUAUUAAAUAAGUUUUCUUCAGUAAUAAAAAUUAUUAAAUAUAUUAAUUUAUAAUUUAGUCAAAGAAUAAAAGUAGAUUAAUAUUGUGCCAGCAUUCGCGGUUAUACAAUUUACUUAAGUUAAUCUCUUAAAGUUCACAAUGAAUAUUGAGAUAAUUUAUAAGUGACUUAUUUAGGUGAAAUUUAUUAGUUAAAUUAAUUUUUAUUUUUUUUUUGUGAAAUUUAUAUAUAAACUAGGAUUAGAUACCCUAUUAUUUUAAAAGUAAAAUUUAUUGACAAGAAUAUUAGUAGUUAUGUUCUAUAAAACUCAAAGAAUUUGGCGGUAAUAUAUCUACUUAGAGGAACCUGUUUUUAUAUUGAUAAACCACGAUAGUUAAUACUUUACUUAUUGACUUGUAUACCGCUAUACAUAGAUUGUUUUGUUAAAAUACUUUCAUUAACUUUAAAGAAAAAAGUUAGGUCAAGGUGCAGUUUUAGUAAAGUUAAAAUGGGUUACUGUAAUUUUAAAUUUAUAGGAUUAAAUAUUUAAAGUAUUUAAGUAAAUAGGAUUUAAUAAUAAAUCUAAUUAAUUAAUUAGGUUGAAUAAAGCUCUAUAUUAUGUACAUAUCGCCCGUCACUCCUAACUUAAUUUAGGAUAAGUCGUAACAAAGUAACCUUACUGGAAAGUGAGGUUAGUCCGU